ensembl:lncRNA
UAGAAAUAUGGAGAGUAAAUUUUCUCAUUUCGAAUUUUAUACUUUGGCAGUAGAUGGAAGUAUUGAUGCUACAGGCAUGGUUCAACUUGCCAUAUAUAAUAGAAGUAUUGAUUACAAAUAUAGCAUCACUGAAGAAAUGACAUCUUUGGUGCCAUUAAAAGACACAACUAAAUCUCUUGAUUUGUACGAAGCAGUAGAAAUUACAUUAAAGAGAUUUUCUUUAACUUUUGUCAACAUAUAACAUAUAGCUACUAAUGGGCUCCCCUGUGAUGGCUGGUUUAAAAAAAAAAGAAAGAAAAAAGAAAGAAAAGAAAGAGACAUCUAAAUAAUAGGAGAUAAUGCAGUUGAUGUUUGCAACUCACAUUUGAUGAAAUAUUGCUGCAUCAGAUAUCAGGAAAAUUUAUGUGCAAAAGCCUGAAAAUUGAUAAUGUCAUGCAAAUUGUCAUCAAAACUGUGGAUUUCAUAAAGUCCAAAGGAUUGAAUCAUCGCUGAUUCAAGGAGUUCCUUAAAAGUAUGGAUUUUGAUUGUGGGAACAUAAUUUUCCUUUCUAAAGUAAGAUGAUUAAGUCAAGGUAAAAUGCUGAAAACUUUGCAAAGUGAAAUCAAGACAUGUAUGGAAGCAAAAGGAGAAUCUGUGCCAGAACAUGAAAGAAGAAAAAUGGCUCACAGACUUAAUACUUUUGGUGGAUUUGACUACUUGUUUAAAUGAGUUAAACAUGUGUCUUCAAGGUGAAAAGCAACUGAUCUAUGCAUGUUUCCAGCCAUAACAGUAUUUGAAAUGAAACUUAAAUUAUGGCAAACUCAAGUUAUGGCAAUUUUUUUGUUUGUUUGUUUGCAUUUGGAUACAUUAACACUGUCCUGUGAAAUAUUGCAGCUAGGCUUUCUGUUUUGAUAAAGAUAUUAGAGAAGAGGUUUCAGGAUUGCUGAAAAAACAAUCAAUGUUUUGGUUUAUUUGUGACUCCAUUUUUACUUGACAGAAAUAUAUUACCCGCCAUUUUCAAAUGGAAUGUAUAGAACUGCAAUCAAACAUUCAAAUCAAAGAAAAAUUUGAUCAUGUCUCUUUACUUUUUUAAAACCUAUCUUAGCAGGCAAAAAUAUUCCUAACUUCACAAGCACGUCUUAUUCAUGUCAUCACUUUUUGGCAGUAUGUACAUUUGUGAGCCACAAUUUUCAAGGAUGAAGCACAGGAAGAGUAAAAUUUCAUCAAAAAUCUCUGAUGAACGCCUUGAUAGUUCACUAAGAAUGGCAAAUCACUGCCAUCAAACCAGACUGAUGUGUCAGUUUCACAAAAACAAGGUCACAUAUCCCAUUAAUUUUAUGUUUUUAUUGACUUCUAAUUUUUAAUACUUCUUGUUUUCAUAUAUUUAUUGGUACUUAUAUAUGCAAAAUCUUUUCUAUAUUUCAUAUGCUGCCCAUGACAAUUCCUCUUCACUCAGUGUGGCUGAGGCAAGCCAAAAGGUUGGACAUUCAUGCUGUAGAGGAUUGGGAAGCAUUUUCUAAGCAUGCAAAUGUGAUAGAGGGCUGGGAGGAGGUUUGCUUUUUCAUUAUUUUUAUUAAUUUGUUUUUUGUAUUUAUUCUACCUUAAAGGUAUCUGAGCUAGCUUCCAGUGUGAAUAUGUGCUAAUUCCUUUCGAAUUUCUGUGAGGGGCUUAGGAGAAGGCAGAUGACUGUGGAAAGCCAUCUGUCAGAGUAGUGGGGUGCUUGGGAAAAGCAAGCUUGUGUCUGUACACCUAAAAUGUCCCCCAUAUUGCACCAUCUGAGAAAGAUCCUUGUGAUUGUAUGCUUUUAGAGGUGGAAGUACCUUUGUUAUAUUACUCAAAAAUCAUAAUAAGUAGAUUAAGGAUGCUGUUUUGGAACCUCUCCAAAGAGGAGUUAGAUGGUCAGCUCUCAUUAAAAACUGGUGGGAAAAGAGGUGCCAAAAUCCUGGCUUUAAAAUCAUAAAUCUAUCUGCACUAAACAAAAGCAAGAGAGAGCUGAGAAAGACAAAUGCCUCUUUAGUUGACUGGAACUAGCUGAUUCCAUGUCAGGUUCAUAGGAUUUAUGAUACUCUUUAUGCUUUCUCAUCUUUGCCUACUCCAAAAUGAAGGGCAGGGAUGGGGAGAAAAAAAUCACCAAGGAAGUGUUACAGUUACUUUGUUUUUGUUUUGGUUUGGUUUUUAAUCACAUUCUUCUUUCUAUUUAAUUCAAGUUUGUUUUUUAAGGAAAAAUUUAAAAAACACUGAUGAAAGAUAUUUCCAGAUGAAGGAACUGCCAGACUUUGUGUCUCCAACCAUUUUACAUCUAUCCAGAAUUCACAAGAAAUGAUUAUCAUCGAUGAGUUAAGAAACAACAACAACAACAAAAACAGAACUGAAGGAAAUCAUUAGCAAUGGCUCCUAGAAAUCACCAGAUAAGGAGUUUCAUAUCCUCUGUAUGGCAUAUCUUCAGAUUGUAGCACAUCAGUAGCAUGGAUCUCAACCAAAGAAAGAUCAGACAUUUGUGAGUGAAUGGAAAAUGAAGGACAGAGCUGCAGAGAACAUUUUGCUCUUCUACAGCAUUUGGCUGCGAUGUUGGUCAGGGACGUUAUAGCUCCUCCAUGUGUUUUUACCCCAUCAGAAGUUCUCGUUUCCAGAAAUUUCUUGAAGAUACGCAUAACUCAUAAAGUAGAGUGCAGCUUUGGAAGAAUGAGUUGACACAGACAAGGUAGCAUUCAAAAACUACAACUGAAUUAUACUGCUGCUGGAGAAAUGUGAGCCAAAAAGAAUUCAUCUUGAUAUUCCGAUCAUAAGCAGUGAAUGCAGAGUUUGCUGUCUACAGGCAUUUAGAAGAAAUGGAAAGAAGGAAUACCCCUGAGGUGGAGGUCAUCCCUGCUAGAUCACAUUUGCCUGCUCUGAUUCACUCUCAGGAGGAGCACUGCAAAGAGAAGGUACCUCUUCAUACAGAUCUUGCUGGAUACAACUGGAUCAAUUGAACUUAUGUGAGAGAGAGGUACAAAGGAAGUAAAUGCAGGUACGUAGAUAAUUUACAGGAAAGUUUAGCCAAAGUAGCUAAGUUUUUACUAACAUACAAUUAGCUGAAAGUGAUGGAUUUUCUUCAAGUUUUGGGUAACUUACUAGUUAAUAUGCUGGACCAUUUUUCCUGAAUAUGUUCAGAACUGUGUAGGUUUUUGAGUCUUCUAUUUCUAAUAACAGACAGAGCAAAUUUUAAAGGAGAAGGAAAAAAGCAAAACAAAACACACACACAUGCAUACAAAAAAUGCAAAAACAAAAACAGCAACAAAAACCUCCAUUGGUGGGUUUUGGAAUCUCUUAAUCCUAUUUUUGCUUGUCUCAAUACCAUGUGCAUUUCCUGAAGGGGCUUGUGUGCUGAUCUGCACUAUUACCAUAUGUUCUACAUAUGAAAAUAAUUCAGUGAGAGUAGUUGUCUAUGUUUGUAUGCGGUGCAUAUACACAACAUACAAACACACACACACACAUUCUUAUUUAUACUCAUAAAUCAUUGCUUUCAAGAACAGAUGCCCUUCUACUGCUCUGUACCUCAGUGUUUCUACACUCGAGAGUGCCUUAAUUUGGAAAAAAUUGCAACUGUCACAGCUCUGCUGCAGUAAUGGUUUUGUAAGAACCAACUUAAUAAAAACAUCAAGCCUCUCUGUUCCAAACAAUUUUAUUAUAGUUAACAACUCAGCCAGUUAUCAAAUAUGUUGUCACCAAUGCACUCUGUCUUCGUGAAUGAUGACAUGGACGAGCCCUGGAUUUCUGUAGUGCUUUACACAUAUACACAGUGCCUUACAGCUGUGUAGCAGCGUUUCCUUAAGGAAUAAAACUGCACAGGAAGUAGAUAGAUGAACCAUGUGAUAACUAUUUUUUGAUGAAAAGCUUCUACAGACAUCAAAUUAGUUUACCUGAAAUAAUUUAAACAACAGUAGAAUAAUUACAAAGUCCACUGUCUGGACCUUGACUUUUCUGAAACAAGCAUACAAUUUUUAAUAAUCAUGACCUUCACCUUCAGCUCUGACCUUUGUCUCUCCAAAACAUACCCCUUUGCUGUAUAUGCAUGGAUGUCUUAACAUGAAUAACCUCCUUAAUGUAGAUACUUAUAUAUCUAAACUUCACAGAGACUUUUAUGUGCCUUGAAUGUAGUUUCUAUGUAAAGUGUGUGUUCAUGUAAAAGCCAUAGUUUUCCACUUAGUACUUUUUUUCAUUAAAAGCACAUUGAUGUCACCUGCACUUUGCCCAGUGGUAAAUCUCUGUUUGAAAUAUGCUGCCUUUUUAUUGUUAUUUUUCAAGAAUAUGCUACAGAAAUGUUCUCUGUGCAUCAGAUGAACAUGGAGCUGGGUAUUAUGCUACACAGCCUUGUACUGAUAUGCAGUUUUCCUCCACUGUUUAAAUGUCUGAUAUUUCAGGGACCAAUUGGUUUAGAAAUUGAAGCUAAGAAACGUUGAAUUGAGAACUGUGACAAAAUGUCAGUUCUGUAGAGUUUUACCUUUAGAAAACACAACUGAGUUUGACUCACUAUGUUUUCUGGUAACCAGCGAAUAGAAAAUGUGUUCUUACUGAUUUUAUUUUAUUUUAUUUUUUUCCUAUCUCCAGAGACACAUUCAGUGUAUGGUAAACUAAAGCCAUUAUAUUAUUCCAGAAAACAGAUGUGAUAAUUAAGAACAGGAAUAAGUUUCAAAAUUCAAUGGAAAAAAUAGUUGUCAAGUUUAUUUCUGAAGAGAAGCACAAACAAAAUGCAUGCCAAUGUGUGGAUGAUUAAUGGGGGAAUUUCCAAGGUCUUUCCAUUAGUUCCUUUAUACUGCUGUACACAAUCAUGCAUGCUUUGUAUGGCCAUCAUAACUUUACGCAAUAUACUUGACCAUAAUGCCAAUCAACAGUUUCUCCUGGCAAACAGAAAGUGUUAAGAACUUCAAUAUAAGAAGACUUUUUCUGCUUCAGAUGGAAUGGAUUCUGUUUGUCAUUAUUCACUUCCUCCUCAACUUGCUCAGUGUGCAUCUAAAUUAAUUCCUGUCACUUAGGUGCUCUCUUGAUAAAUACACGAUCUAUAUUUAAUGUCUCUUUAUUCUCAUUUUAUUAUACUUGUAUGCAGUAGUGAAAGAAGAUAAUGGGCAGAGCAGUGUACCACAGCAGAGAAUUUGAUACUGCUCCUUUUCACUUUUUGGUGGAACAGCUAUAUUUAGCAACACAGACUGUCAGCCACAAAUUGCCUACCUAUGUGCUCACUUUUUCCAAUCCGUGAUAUAGAAUUCUCUGUACUACAUUGAUAAAUAUCACCACGUUUCACCCAUACAGCUAUAGUAAUUGUUUCCAUAGUAACUGAUUAAUUUACAAAUGUUCUGAACUGGAAGAUUAAUUGGAAGAGGAGCAGAGGCGUAAAUCCAGUAUAAUAGGUGCUUGUGUGGGUGCUGUAAGGCUUUUGUUGCCUGUGCCAUAGGCAGUGCUUUAGUUAAGGAAAAUGAGGGGUUGAAAUUCAAUAUUUUAGGUGAGGUGUGAUUUACAAUUGCAAACAUAUAGGAGUGCAGAAGUCAAAAUAAUAAACCUUUGGUAAAUUUGCACACUCCUCCAUUUGCUACAUAUAAUUAUUUCCUGUCUGUGGUAUUAAUUCCUUGUGAGUAAAAGUUUCUCAUAGCAUGUCCUGCUUCAGUGUUGCUAAGUUCACCUAUUGAAUGCAGUUGGUUGUGUGGUGUUAGUUGUUUUUCUUUGUUUGUUUUAUUUAUAUACUUUGUCUAAAAAGCCAUUGAGUUUUUCUGUUAUGGGCAAGGAAAUUUAAAAGUUCCCAUUGUUUUUCAGUGCAGUAAAAAUAUAUUGAGAACUUCCAGUGCAUGCAGGCUGCAUUUAGCAUAAACAGGAAUCACAACAAUUGCUCUUUGUAAAUGAAAAAUCACUUGAAUUUAUGGCAUUGUUUUUUUGAUGUUUCUCUUCACAAAGAGGAAGAUAUUGCUGAGGCUACGAUCAUGGAUUUCCUUGCAAGACUGUCUUCUAGGCUCUUGGUUCUCUUUAGUUGGUGCAAAGUAGUUAUGGUAACUUACAGUGCAAUAAUUCACAUAUCCCACAAAGUUUAUUUGUUUGCUAAAAACAAACUACCUUUUUCCUCCCAGUACUUUGAAUCUCUUCUCGGGCACGCCAUUAGUGAAGUGCUUUCUUUCCAAAUCUGGAAAAAAAAAACAAAACACCAUCAAAUUGAGACUUAAUUUUAAGCUAUUUCUGAACGGAAGUAAUGAUGAAAAUAUGAAUGUUUCACCACGUUGUGAAACAUACAAGUAACUUGGAUUUAAAAACCUGUUUUUACAGCCUGUGCUUUCUAUGUUUAUGUGCUCAGGUCUUGGGGCAGCGAAGGACCCCUUACUCAAACUGUAGGCGCUACAAAUGAGCAAUGCAGUCUGGCCAAAUCUCAGUGACCCCCUCCUGCAGAGCUCAGGCUGGGCACUGUACAUUCCUUUCUGAUACUUUGGUGCUCCAGGAGGAUUUCCAAAAUCCUUUUUCCUGGGUUGGGUGCCUUAUUGAUGUCAAAAAACAAUGAAUAGAAUAGAUAUAGGAGAAAAAGAGGCAGGCACUGUGGGCUCGGUUUCAGGUGUUCAAAGACUCAUAGAAAAAGAUUCAUUCUGAAAAGUGCAUGCAAAACAUGAUUAUUUGGAAAAACAAUUAUUUGGAUUCAUUGAUGUUUAACUAUUCAGAGGGCAUCACUUGAGUUUAUGAAAAGUCAGAAAAAGUGCAGGAGAUACUAGGAUGGAUGCAAGUUUGAGGAAAGUAUCUUUGUUUAUAUUCUGGGAGAUGGGAAAAGGUGACCUCAAUUUUGAAGUUUCUGCUUCAGGCCAAUGUUAACGGCCAGAUCAUUAUGUUGCAUAAAAUCUUUUUACAGCAAUAUGCUAUUUCUAACUUUUUAAAAUAUUGUGCAGGCAUAAGGACCAAAUGCCACAAUGGUUUGUUAAUAAAAUUGCCACUUUGCCUAAUACAAGACUAACUCAAAUAAUGUGGAAAACAACAUUUCAAAGUCUUUCAAAUACCCCUUCCUGAAGUAUACAUGUAAUUAAGGCUGACUGAUCUUGCAGUUAGUUAUAGUAGGUGCUGAAGUUAUUUUCUUCCCUGACAAAAGGCAGAAUGGAUGAAAUCCUCUCAGAGAUUUCCUGAUAAUGGUGCAGAUUGUGUCUUUGAAUGAGAGACCCUGAAGUUAUACAGCACUGAUACUCCAGCUGUUCACCUUCUAAUCCCCCAGGUCAGGAAUCGGUCUGUGAUUCACAGGCUUCUGCUGUCCAGGCAUGCACAAAACAUACAGUCUCUCCCCAUUUUGAUAUUAGGCUGCCUUUGUACUUGCGAGCUGAGCCUGGUUUCAUGCUGCAUCUCUUCGCAGAACACCUGCAACUCCUUUAGGUUGUUGUAAUUCCACAGCACAUCACUCUAUUUUGCCAGCAAAAAUAUUGAGUUCAGGCACAGCUGCAUCAAUUAGCUCCUCAAGUCUGCAAAUAGUGAUACUGGUGACAUUUUUUUGGAUGAAUGAGGGACCUACUGGCAAGUACAUAAAUGAAAUGAUCAACAUUCUCUUUCAUGUUUCUUUGUGUUUAAACAUUCUUUUACCAUCGUGUACUUUGAAAGUGACAGUCUUCUGCCCUUAGCUCAUAAAACACUAACAAAUAUUUUGCAUCUGUCACUACCAUGCUUCAUAGAUGCACAGAUGUACAUGCUGAUUAAAUAUACAAGGGCUGCUCUGAAAGUUAUGCCUCCUACUUUAUUAUAUUGGCCCAUGAGAUAAAUGUUGGUGUUACGGCAGUAAAGGUUGAACCUUCCCAAGAAUAUUCUGUUACAUUUUGCUGCCAUGCAACAGAUGGCAGCAGAGGGGCAGUGUGACAAAAUGGCAUCUGACAUGGAAGUGCAUGUGAAAAAAGGGGUGUUAUUGAAGUCCUCCAUACAGAACAAAUGACACCCACUGACAUUCAUCAACACUUGCUGAACAUCAGUGGAGACCAAACAAUGGAUGUGAGCGCAGUGAGGCGGUGGGUGGUCUGUUUUAGCAGUGGUGACAGUUAUAUGAAAGAUAAGUAUGGCAUGCAAGCCCUUGGCAAAAAUGCAUAGCUAAUGGUGGUGCUAAAAAUAGCUUUCUGUAGCUGAGAAUUCUCUCCAUCAAAUAGUGUUAUUGUGCUCUUUGUAUCUGUUGUAGUUUCCAUGGAAAUUAAUGGGAGACAUUACUUCCAGGGUGACCUAUAUGUAUAAAUAUGUAUUUACCUUGGUCAGAGAUAACUGAUAUUUUGUGAUACAAACUACUUUAUUAUACAACUAGUGUCUUAUGAUCACUGAAUUUCAUUAUGUUGUUGUUAUCCUGUGCUGUUCCAGAUAGUUUCUCAUCUUGUUGUCUUUCCACAGAUACCCAGCCAAAGCCAAAGGAACUAAAGCUCACUGUAUCAUUAGGAGGAUGAAUCCCUCCUGUUGCUUUAUUUCUUUUCCAUUUGUUUGUUUUUUCUUUUUGUCUUUUUUGUUUGUUUUUGUCUUUUCUCUUUUUGGUAACUAAAAUCCAGAUCUACUAGGACACAUUUUGAAGAAAAAAAUGUUGGAAUGAUGGGGAAUAUAUCCAUCAACAAGAUGAGGAAAAUAGGAUCAAAGCCCAGGAAAGAGGAAGUCAGCUGGGAGGACUGUGCAGGUUAAUGUAGAGAUAAAGCAAAUCUUCUGAACGUUUGCCCCUAGCUGGAGCCCUGAGAGACAGGAGAGUAUACAUGCAUUAGACAUCUACUCUACCCGGCUGAUUUCAGGCAAUGAUUUGGAACAGAAGAUAUGAAGAUAUGAGCUCUGCCCUGCUUGGCUUGACACAGAAAAGAGAUUUUCUGUUGAUAUCACUGUUGGGUAGAACUGGUGCUUGACGUUUUCAUUAAAAUAACAGAUACAGCUCUACUUGCUGCUGUAGCUGCAAACUCCCUUGUUUAUAUUGCCUCUGUUUUACUUUCAGGGCAGGAACAUCCCCUUGGUCCUCAGACUGUUUAGAUUCAGGGAAGCAGUGAAUGUCAGUGUGUGUGUAUGUAUUCAGUUCCCUCUCUGUACAUUUAGAAAUUGUAAAGGGAAAUUUAUUGUGAAGAGGGAAAAAAUAUAGGACUGGUUUCUGUCCCUGUGCUAAUAUCAUGGUAUUAACAUAGGUGAAUUGCUGCUGGUUGAUAUGAGCCUGGCUUCCAAGAGGACAUUCUUGUAGCACCUUGAUUGCCUGGGCCACCCCUCCAAGGAGGCUCAGCAGGCAGCCUCAGCCUUUCUUGUUUGCUGUUUUGUUGUUUCAGUUCUCAGCUGGAGAUUAUUUCUUCUUUCUGUCUCCUCUUGAUACAUGAAUGUGCUGUGUCAGGCUUGCCUUCAGGUCAGUGUCCUGUGCAGGCCUCGCCAUGGUGUCAGCAGUAAGCAGAUCUGAGAAGGCCAAAGGCAGGGCAUCAAUGGAAAAUGAGCCUAACAAAUGGGAAGUCAGGCUGGAUGGCCAGCCAUAAUGUCUUUCCUCUCACGAAACAUGACAGAAAGGCACAACAGAAAAGGCUGCUUUUCCUUAUCUUUAGCCUUUCACCUGGGUUUGUUUUUUCCUCUGUCCUAAUGGUUCCUUGUCAGCUUUUUCUGUGUCCUGACUUCCUUUCCCCUGAGCCUCUCUUGAGAGGCAGAGGAACAGGGUCUGAGCAAGGCAACAGUGGGCAACAAGCUAUAAAUUUGACAGAUUAUGAACGUGCUUCAGUGUGCUGUGUAACCUGUAAAUCAAAACCCAUUUUAAGACCAGCAAUGAAUCCCUGUAUAUCAAAAAGCAGGAGAUGUUAGAAUAGGCAGUUGCUGCCUCUUACAAUAGCUCCUCCAGAAACACAUUGUGCAGAGGGUCUUGUAUUCAUCAUUAAAAUUGUUUUCUUUCUUCCAUUAGCUGCUAUGCAGCAUGUAUGUAUUAGAAGUCAUGGCUAGUAUGACUUCAUUGAUAAAGCUCCAUUGUAUCCAACAUGAAAAGAGAAUAAAAGAGGUAAUAUUCUCUGGCAUAUCAUGUGGACUCUCUUUUUACAGCAUGG